UGCUUUGGAGAGAGUAGGGCUGGCCA
rnacentral:piRNA from 1 species